GCUGACGAGUCCCAAAUACGACGAAACGCGCGUCC
rnacentral:hammerhead_ribozyme from 1 species